rnacentral:rRNA from 1 species
GCUGUAUAGCUAGCCGAACCACAAACCUAAAUCAACGUAAUAACUCACCAAAAAAAGCCAAACUCCACACACUAAACCAUUCUCCCAUCCAAGUAUGUGCGACAGAAAAGAAUCAAACGAGCAAUAGAAAGAGUACCGCAAGGGAAGGCUGAAAGAGAAAUGAAACAACGCGUCAAAGCACAAAAAAGCAAAAAUUAACCUUUGUACCUUUUGCAUCAUGAUCUAGCCAGAACAAAUCAGGCAAAGCGCCCUUUAGUCUGACCCCCCGAAACUAAACGAGCUACUUCGAGACAGCAUAUUAGAGCCAACCCGUCUCUGUAGCAAAAGAGUGGGAAGAUCUCCAAGUAGAGGUGACAAACCUAACGAGUCUAGUGAUAGCUGGUUGCUUAGGAAAUGAAUAUUAGUUCAGCCCUGCCUGCCUCUUAAAUCAAAGCUAUAAGCCCUUACAAGAAUACAAGUUGCACGCAAGAGUUAAUUAAAGGAGGUACAGCUCCUUUAAAGAAGGAUACAACCUUCACAGAUGGGUAAAGAUCAUAUUGUACAAGGCAACCUACCACAGUGGGCCUAAGAGCAGCCAUCUGCACAGAAAGCGUUGAAGCUCAGACAGGAUUAAGCCUAUUAUACCGAUAAAUCAUCUAACCCCGCUACUCAUACUAAGCCAUCUUAUGCCCCCAUAAGAGAAACGAUGCUAGAAUCAGUAACAAGAAAGUACGACUUUCUCCCGGCAUAUGUGUAAGUCAGAAUGAACCAAUCACUGACAAAUAAAGAACUCAAUAAAAGAGAGUAAUGUGAACUAAAUUACAACCAAGAAAACAUCACAUUCCGCAUCGUUAACCCAACACAGGAGUGCCACAAGGAAAGACUAAACGGAUCAGAAGGAAUUCAGCAAACCCGGGCCUCGCCUGUUUACCAAAAACAUGGCCUCUCGCAAAACACAAAUGAGAGGUCCGACCUGCCCAGUGACACUAAGUUCAACGGCCGCGGUAUUUUAACCGUGCUAAGGUAGCGUAAUCACUUGUCUUUUAAAUGAAGACCUGUAUGAAAGGCACCACGAGGGCCCUACUGUCUCCUCUUCCAAGUCAGUGAAAUUGAUCUGCUCGUGCAAAAGCGAGCAUAAAACCAUAAGACGAGAAGACCCUGUGGAGCUUUAGAUGCGAUAUUAACCGUGCCUAGAGACCUGCCUUUCAAUAAAUAUAACCAGCCACACAAGCAUAACGGCUAUAAUUAAGCUAUCUUCGGUUGGGGCGACCACGGGGGACAACAAAGCCCCCGAGAGGAAUCAGGGGACCAAACACACCAGUCCCUAAGAGCUACGAGCCACCCCUCUAAGCAACAGAAAUUUCUGACCAAUUAUGAUCCGGGCUAGAUCCGAUCAACGAACCAAGUUACCCCAGGGAUAACAGCGCAAUCCUUUCCAAGAGCCCGUAUCGCCGAAAGGGUUUACGACCUCGAUGUUGGAUCAGGACAUCCUGGUGGCGAAAAUUUUACCAAGGGUUCGUUUGUUCAACGAUUAAAGUCCUACGUGAUCUGAGUUCAGACCGGAGCAAUCCAGGUCAGUUUCUAUCUAUGAAUUUACGCUUCCUAGUACGAAAGGACCGGAAGGAGAGAGGCCAAUGCCCAAAGCACGCCCCACCCCUACCCAAUGAAAACAACUCAAAGAACAAAGGGGGAUAUACCCACCACCCUAGAUAAGGGUUG